AACGAACGCUGGCGGCAUGCCUAACACAUGCAAGUCGAACGAUGCCUUCGGGCAUAGUGGCGCACGGGUGCGUAACGCGUGGGAAUCUGCCUUUCGGUUCGGAAUAACUCAGAGAAACUUGAGCUAAUACCGGAUAACGUCGCAAGACCAAAGAUUUAUCACCGAAAGAUGAGCCCGCGUAGGAUUAGCUAGUUGGUGAGGUAAAGGCUCACCAAGGCGACGAUCCUUAGCUGGUCUGAGAGGAUGAUCAGCCACACUGGGACUGAGACACGGCCCAGACUCCUACGGGAGGCAGCAGUGGGGAAUAUUGGACAAUGGGCGAAAGCCUGAUCCAGCAAUGCCGCGUGAGUGAUGAAGGCCUUAGGGUUGCAAAGCUCUUUUACCCGGGAAGAUAAUGACGGUACCGGGAGAAUAAGCCCCGGCUAACUCCGUG
rnacentral:rRNA from 1 species